rnacentral:rRNA from 1 species
CAGCAGCCGCGGUAAUACAGAGGAUGCAAGCGUUAUCCGGAUUUAUUGGGUUUAAAGGGUGCGUAGGUGGCCUGUUAAGUCAGGGGUGAAAGACGGUAGCUCAACUAUCGCAGUGCCCUUGAUACUGAUGGGCUUGAAUGAACUAGAGGUAGGCGGAAUGUGACAAGUAGCGGUGAAAUGCAUAGGUAUGUCACAGAACACCAAUUGCGAAGGCAGCUUACUAUGGUUUGAUUGACACUGAGGCACGAAAGCGUGGGGAUCAAACAGGAUUAGAGACCCCUGUAGUCCCUGUCUCUUAUAA